rnacentral:rRNA from 1 species
ACGGGAGGCAGCAGUGGGGAAUAUUGGGCAAUGGGCGAAAGCCUGACCCAGCGACGCCGCGUGAGCGAAGAAGGUCUUCGGAUUGUAAAGCUCUGUGUACAGGAACGAUAAUGACGGUACCUGUAUAGAAAGCCACGGCUAACUACGUGCCAGCAGCCGCGGUAAUACGUAGGUGGCAAGCGUUAUCCGGAUUUACUGGGUGUAAAGGGCGCGUAGGCGGGGAUGCAAGUCAGAUGUGAAAUCCAUGGGCUUAACUCAUGAACUGCAUUUGAAACUGUAUCUCUUGAGUGUCGGAGAGGUAGAUGGAAUUCCUAGUGUAGCGGUGAAAUGCGUAGAUAUUAGGAGGAACACCAGUGGCGAAGGCGAUCUACUGGACGAUAACUGACGCUGAGGCGCGAAAGCGUGGGGAGCAAACAGGAUUAGAUACCCUGGUA